rnacentral:rRNA from 1 species
GACGAACCGUGCGAACGUUGUUCGGAAUCACUGGGCUUAAAGGGCGCGUAGGCGGCCGCGUAAGUCCGGGGUGAAAUCCCCCAGCCCAACUGGGGAAGUGCCUUGGAUACUGCGUGGCUCGAGCGGGGUAGGGGCAUGUGGAACUUCCGGUGGGGCGGUGAAAUGCGUAGAUAUCGGAAGGAACGCCGGUGGCGAAAGCGACGUGCUGGACCCCCCCUGACGCUGAGGCGCGAAAGCCAGGGGAGCGAACGGG